CCCAGAAGUUACAACGAGCAGGAGAAAUGCUGAGACUGUUGGUGAAGCAGCAAGUCGGCGAGGUCGUUGACGAGGCUUUUGAGCAGUUGGACACAUUGGCAGCAGCGUAUGAGGACAUCGUUUCUCGUUUAGGAGAACAUGAGCUACACACAUCAGCGUGAAGAGGACUCUCUCGUCCAUCAACACCCACAAGGCAACAGGUCCAGACAACAUCCCUGGUCGUGUGCUGAAGGACUGCGCAGAGGAGCUUAAGGACGUCUUCACGGAUGUCUUUAAUACUUCUCUGAGACAAGCUGUUGUUCCAUCAUGCUUCAAGGUAACCACCAUCAUACCUGUGCCAAAGAAAUCCACUCCGUCCUGCUUCAACGACUA